rnacentral:rRNA from 1 species
GCAAGUCGAACGAGAAAGCUUCUUCGGAAGCGAGUAUAGUGGCGCACGGGUGAGUAAUGCAUAGGAACGUACCAUUCAGUGGGGAAUAACCACGGGAAACUGUGGCUAAUACCGCAUAAUAUCGAGAGAUUAAAGGAGGCCUCUGCUUGCAUGCUUUCGCUGAAUGAUCGGCCUAUGUCCCAUUAGCUUGUUGGUAGGGUAAUGGCCUACCAAGGCGACGAUGGGUAGCGGGUUUGAGAGGAUGAUC